rnacentral:lncRNA from 1 species
UAGGACUAAUCUGAGGGGCUUGUGAGCCUACCUCAUCGGGGACGGCGUGGCAGCGCCCGAUGGACAGGCCUGAGCCCUGAGCACCUGCAGCCCAUGGAGGGAGGACUCCAGAACAUGACUCAUCCUGGCGCAUCCCCAAGGAGGCAGGACCCAUCGUGGCCUUCAGGAGACCCUCCAGGACCGCAUAGCCCAGGACUCUCGCCUUCUUCCUGCCUCCUCGUCCUGCAGGCGACCCCUGAAAGUCACGUGAUUCUGCCUUCCUCAGGCCAAGAAGUGGUGCUGAUCUGGGGCCUUCUGUCCGUGGUCGGUCUUCCUCACCGUGAGUGCGUAUUAGGGCAGGGCUCCG